AAACUAUGGUGAGGGCAUCUUCGUUGUAACUCUAGAUAGCGUUGCCAAGCCUCAUCCAAUGUGUCUCCUUCCUGUUGAGAAAAACUAGUUAUAUCCAUAUGAAAUUU